rnacentral:lncRNA from 1 species
UUUGGAGUAUGUUCAAUGGAGAAUAUGGAUAGUUCAUGGCAGUUGUGUGUGGAUUUCAUAACUCUAUUAAAAUAUAGUGUUAUUGGUAUAUAGAUUCUUAUCAAUAAAACACAACUUUCAAUUAAUAGACUUCUGAAUUCUUGAAAAAUCUUUAAAAGUUUAACAAAUCUCUCAACUCUUAAUAUCAAGCAAUUCCAAAUUCUGAC